rnacentral:rRNA from 1 species
UACGUAGGCAGCAAGCGUUGUUCGGAGUUACUGGGCGUAAAGAGUGUGUAGGCGGUGUUCUAAGUUUGUCGUGAAAUCUCCCGGCUUAACUGGGAGGGUGCGGCGAAAACUGGAAUGCUAGAGGAUGGGAGAGGUAAGCGGAAUUCCUGGUGUAGCGGUGAAAUGCGUAGAUAUCAGGAGGAACACCUGUGGUGUAGACAGCUUACUGGACCAUUUCUGACGCUGAGACACGAAAGCGUGGGUAGCAAACAGG